UGGGGAAUAUUGGACAAUGGGCGCAAGCCUGAUCCAGCCAUGCCGCGUGAGUGACGAAGGUCUUCGGAUUGUAAAGCCCUUUUGGCGGGGACGAUAAUGACGGUACCCGCAGAAUAAGCCCCGGCUAACUUCGUGCCAGCAGCCGCGGUAAUACGAAGGGGGCUAGCGUUGUUCGGAAUUACUGGGCGUAAAGCGCACGUAGGCGGAUUUGUAAGUCAGGGGUGAAAUCCCGGGGCUCAACCUCGGAACUGCCUUUGAUACUGCAAGUCUUGAGUCCGGAAGAGGUGAGUGGAAUUCCUAGUGUAGAGGUGAAAUUCGUAGAUAUUAGGAAGAACACCAGUGGCGAAGGCGGCUCACUGGUCCGGUACUGACGCUGAGGUGCGAAAGCGUGGGGAGCAAACA
rnacentral:rRNA from 1 species